AUCACUUUUUAGUUUUGGCCAAGAUCAAGUGUAGUAUCUGUUCUUAUCGGUUCACUAUCUGAUACAUCCUCUAUCUGAGGACAAGGACAAUAAAUUAAAUAGAUUUUUGGAGCAAGGAGAUGGAAUAUAAGCUUGCUCAGUUCACCCUGGUAUUGCAAUAUUGCAGUACCUCCAGAAUGGUACACAGAAG
rnacentral:snRNA from 1 species